CAGUAGCCGCGGUAAUACGUAGGGUGCAAGCGUUAAUCGGAAUUACUGGGCGUAAAGCGUGCGCAGGCGGCUAUGCAAGACAGAUGUGAAAUCCCCGGGCUCAACCUGGGAACUGCAUUUGUGACUGCAUGGCUAGAGUACGGUAGAGGGGGAUGGAAUUCCGCGUGUAGCAGUGAAAUGCGUAGAUGUGCGGAGGAACACCGAUGGCGAAGGCAAUCCCCUGGACCUGUACUGACGCUCAUGCACGAAAGCGUGGGGAGCAAACAGGAUUAGAUACCCCAGUAGUCCCUGUCUCUUAUAC
rnacentral:rRNA from 1 species